GCUUCCGGCCUCCGCCAGGCCUUAAGGCGGCGCGGGGCGGCGCAGUGCGCAUGCGCAUAAAGCUCGCGCCUGCGUAGCUCAGGCCGCGGUGUUGGGCCUGUGGCGGCGGGACGAACGAGGGUUUGUGCUUCACAGCACCGAGGCCGUGUGUGGAGACAGGAGCUGAGAAGCGGCCUGUGUGGGCUCCGUGAUCCUCCUCAGGGCCUUGUCAGAGCUCAUACACAGCCUGAAUAGCCCCACAUCAUCCUCAUCCAUCCCUUACCACCAUUAGGUUCUCCAAUGCAGUAACACACAUUCCCAUAGUCGCACAGCUGACGUGGAGGUGGCAGCGCUGCUUCCACCUGCAGCAACUGCAGCAUCCGCAGCAACUGGAUGCCACCCCGAACAGGCAGGUGGGUGGGUGCUGGCAGAGGGAACCUGGUGUUGCUGGCUGUGUCCUGACCCCCGUGAUCUGACAAGACCAGUGCUCAGGUGUCCCCAGGAUGUGGCUUUGUGGGUCUUUAUUCUU